rnacentral:rRNA from 1 species
UGGCCAGACUCCUACGGGAGGCAGCAGUGGGGGAUAUUGGACAAUGGGGGGAACCCUGAUCCAGCGACGCCGCGUGAGUGAAGAAGUAUUUCGGUCUGUAAAGCUCUGUCAGCAGGGAAGAAAGAAAUGACGGUACCUGACCAAGAAGCCCCGGCUAACUACGUGCCAGCAGCCGCGGUAAUACGUAGGGGGCAAGCGUUAUCCGGAAUUACUGGGUGUAAAGGGAGCGUAGACGGUUAAGUAAGUCUGGAGUGAAAGGCCGGGGCCCAACCCCGGGACUGCUCUGGAAACUAUUCAACUUGAGUGCAGGAGAGGUAAGCGGAAUUCCUAGUGUAGCGGUGAAAUGCGUAGAUAUUAGGAGGAACACCAGUGGCGAAGGCGGCUUACUGGACUGUAACUGACGUUGAGGCUCGAAAGCGUGGGGAGCAAACAGGAUUAGAUACCCCGGUAAUC